AUUGAACGCUGGCGGCAGGCCUAACACAUGCAAGUCGAACGAGUGGCGGACGGGUGAGUAAUGUCUGGGAAACUGACCGACGGAGGGAGAUAACUACUGGAAACAGUAGCUAAUACCGCAUACCAUCGGAUGUGCCCAGAUGGGAUUAGCUAGUAGGUGGGGUAACGGCUCACCUAGUCGACGAUCCCUAGCUGGUCUGAGAGGAGGACCAGCCACACUGUAACGGAGACACGGUCCAGACGCCUACGGGAGGCAGCAGUGGGGAAUAUUGCACAAUGGGCGCAAGCCUGAUGCAGCCAUGCCGCGUGUAUGAAGAAGGCCUUCGGGUUGUAAAGUACUUUCAGCGAGGAGGCGUUACUCGCAGAAGAAGCACCGGCUAACUACGUGCCAGCAGCCGCGGUAAGAC
rnacentral:rRNA from 1 species